UGGGCGAGCCUGAUCCAGCCAUGCCGCGUGUGUGAUGAAGGUCUUCGGAUUGUAAAGCCCUUUAAGUUGGGAGGAAGGGCACUGAGCUAAUACCUUGCUGUUUUGACGUUACCGACAGAAUAAGCACCGGCUAACUCUGUGCCAGCAGCCGCGGUAAU
rnacentral:rRNA from 1 species